GAUGAACGCUGGCGGCGUGCUUAACACAUGCAAGUCGAACGGAAAGGCCCAAGCUUGCUUGGGUACUCGAGUGGCGAACGGGUGAGUAACACGUGGGUGAUCUGCCCUGCACUUCGGGAUAAGCCUGGGAAACUGGGUCUAAUACCGGAUAGGACGAUGGUUUGGAUGCCAUUGUGGAAAGUUUUUUCGGUGUGGGAUGAGCUCGCGGCCUAUCAGCUUGUUGGUGGGGUAAUGGCCUACCAAGGCGUCGACGGGUAGCCGGCCUGAGAGGGUGUACGGCCACAUUGGGACUGAGGUACGGCCCAGGCUCCUACGGGAGGCAGCAGUGGGGAAUAUUGCACAAUGGGCGCAAGCCUGAUGCAGCGACGCCGCGUGGGGGAUGACGGCCUUCGGGUUGUAAACUCCUUUCGCUAGGGACGAAGCGUUUUUGUGACGGUACCUGGAGAAGAAGCACCGGCUAACUACGUG
rnacentral:rRNA from 1 species